rnacentral:rRNA from 1 species
CGGAGGGUGCAAGCGUUGUCCGGAUUUAUUGGGUUUAAAGGGUGCGUAGGCGGUCUUUUAAGUCAGUGGUGAAAUCCUGCAGCUCAACUGUAGAACAGCCAUUGAUACUGAAAGACUUGAGUACAGACGAGGUAGGCGGAAUUUAUGGUGUAGCGGUGAAAUGCAUAGAUACCAUAAAGAACCCCCUAUUGCGAAGGCAGCUUACUAGGCUGUAACUGACGCUGAGGCACGAAAGCGUGGGGAUCAAACAGGAUUAGAUACCCUGGUAGUCCACGCCGUAAACGAUGAUUACUCGAUGUUCGCGAUAUACAGUGAGCGUCCAAGCGAAAGCGUUAAGUAAUCCACCUGGGAAGUACGAUCGCAAGAUUG